rnacentral:rRNA from 1 species
UACGUAGGCAGCGAGCGUUAUCCGGAGUUACUGGGCGUAAAGGGCGUGUAGGCGGUUCGUUAAGUCUGGCGUGAAAGCUCUCGGCUAAACCGGGAGAGGUCGUUGGAUACUGGCAAACUAGAGGACGGUAGAGGCGUGUGGAAUUCCGGGUGUAGUGGUGAAAUGCGUAGAGAUCCGGAGGAACACCAGUGGCGAAGGCGACACGCUGGGCCGUACCUGACACUGAUGCGCGACAGCAUGGGGAGCAAACAGG